rnacentral:rRNA from 1 species
AUUGAACGCUGGCGGUAUGCUUAGCACAUGCAAGUCGAACGGCAGCAUGGUCUAGCUUGCUAGACUGAUGGCGAGUGGCGGACGGGUGAGUAACGCGUAGGAAUAUGCCUUGAAGAGUGGGACAACUUGGGGAAACUCAAGCUAAUACCGCAUGUACUCGAGAGAGUAAAGCUGGGGACCUUUAGGCCUGGCGCUUUAAGAUUAGCCUGCGUCCGAUUAGCUAGUUGGUAGGGUAAAGGCCUACCAAGGCGACGAUCGGUAGCUGGUCUGAGAGGAUGAUCAGCCACACUGGAACUGAGAGACGGUCCAGACUCCUACGGGAGGCAGCAGUGGGGAAUAUUGGACAAUGGGGGGAACCCUGAUCCAGCAAUGCCGCGUGUGUGAAGAAGGCCCGAGGGGUGUAAAGCACUUUCAGUGGGGAGGAGGUUUGGAAGGUUAAGAGCUAUUCAAAUGGACGUUACCCACAGAAGAAGCACCGGCUAACUCCGUGCCAGCCGCCGCCGUAA